rnacentral:rRNA from 1 species
GACGAACGCUGGCGGCGUGCCUAAUACAUGCAAGUAGAACGCUGAAGGAGGAGCUUGCUCUUUCCGGAUGAGUUGCGAACGGGUGAGUAACGCGUAGGUAACCUGCCUGGUAGCGGGGGAUAACUAUUGGAAACGAUAGCUAAUACCGCAUAAGAGUAGAUAUCGCAUGAUAGCUGCUUGAAAGGUGCAAUUGCACCACUACCAGAUGGACCUGCGUUGUAUUAGCUAGUUGGUGAGGUAACGGCUCACCAAGGCAACGAUACAUAGCCGACCUGAGAGGGUGAUCGGCCACACUGGGACUGAGACACGGCCCAGACUCCUACGGGAGGCAGCAGUAGGGAAUCUUCGGCAAUGGACGGAAGUCUGACCGAGCAACGCCGCGUGAGUGAAGAAGGUUUUCGGAUCGUAAAGCUCUGUUGUAAGAGAAGAACGAGUGUGAGAGUGGA